rnacentral:rRNA from 1 species
GAUGAACGCUGGCGGCGUGCCUAAUACAUGCAAGUCGAGCGAACGGACGAGAAGCUUGCUUCUCUGAUGUUAGCGGCGGACGGGUGAGUAACACGUGGAUAACCUACCUAUAAGACUGGGAUAACUUCGGGAAACCGGAGCUAAUACCGGAUAAUAUUUUGAACCGCAUGGUUCAAAAGUGAAAGACGGUCUUGCUGUCACUUAUAGAUGGAUCCGCGCUGCAUUAGCUAGUUGGUAAGGUAACGGCUUACCAAGGCAACGAUGCAUAGCCGACCUGAGAGGGUGAUCGGCCACACUGGAACUGAGACACGGUCCAGACUCCUACGGGAGGCAGCAGUAGGGAAUCUUCCGCAAUGGGCGAAAGCCUGACGGAGCAACGCCGCGUGAGUGAUGAAGGUCUUCGGAUCGUAAAACUCUGUUAUUAGGGAAGAACAUAUGUGUAAGUAACUGUGCACAUCUUGACGGUACCUAAUCAGAAAGCCACGGCUAACUACGUGCCAGCAGCCGCGGUAAUACGUAGGUGGCAAGCGUUAUCCGGAAUUAUUGGGCGUAAAGCGCGCGUAGGCGGUUUUUUAAGUCUGAUGUGAAAGCCCACGGCUCAACCGUGGAGGGUCAUUGGAAACUGGAAAACUUGAGUGCAGAAGAGGAAAGUGGAAUUCCAUGUGUAGCGGUGAAAUGCGCAGAGAUAUGGAGGAACACCAGUGGCGAAGGCGACUUUCUGGUCUGUAACUGACGCUGAUGUGCGAAAGCGUGGGGAUCAAACAGGAUUAGAUACCCUGGUAGUCCACGCCGUAAACGAUGAGUGCUAAGUGUUAGGGGGUUUCCGCCCCUUAGUGCUGCAGCUAACGCAUUAAGCACUCCGCCUGGGGAGUACGACCGCAAGGUUGAAACUCAAAGGAAUUGACGGGGACCCGCACAAGCGGUGGAGCAUGUGGUUUAAUUCGAAGCAACGCGAAGAACCUUACCAAAUCUUGACAUCCUUUGACAACUCUAGAGAUAGAGCCUUCCCCUUCGGGGGGGCAAAGUGACAGGUGGUGCAUGGUUGUCGUCAGCUCGUGUCGUGAGAUGUUGGGUUAAGUCCCGCAACGAGCGCAACCCUUAAGCUUAGUUGCCAUCAUUAAGUUGGGCACUCUAAGUUGACUGCCGGUGACAAACCGGAGGAAGGUGGGGAUGACGUCAAAUCAUCAUGCCCCUUAUGAUUUGGGCUACACACGUGCUACAAUGGACAAUACAAAGGGCAGCGAAGCCGCGAGGUCAAGCAAAUCCCAUAAAGUUGUUCUCAGUUCGGAUUGUAGUCUGCAACUCGACUACAUGAAGCUGGAAUCGCUAGUAAUCGUAGAUCAGCAUGCUACGGUGAAUACGUUCCCGGGUCU